rnacentral:misc_RNA from 1 species
GAUGAAGAACGCAGUGAAAUGCGAUAAGUAAUGUGAAUUGCAGAAUUCAGUGAAUCAUCGAAUCUUUGAACGCACCUUGCACCCUUUUGCAUUCUGAAGGGUAUGCUCGUUUGAGUGUCAUUGUACUCUCACACUCCCGAUCUUUGCAUUGGGAGCAGUGGACUUGGGUUUGCUGCUUCACCGUCGCUUACCUCAAAUAGGUUAGUGCAACUCUUGGUUGGACAUAGUACGGCGUGAUAAGUGUUCUUCGCCGGUGCCUCGCAAAGAGGGUGGCCGAUCGGGAUGUUGUGCUCCAAACCGUCUUCGGACAAUCUCUGACGACUUGACCUCAAAUCGAGUAAGACUACCCGCUGAACUUAAGCAUAUCAAUAAGCGGAGGA